UCAGCAAUGCAUAAGUCAAAG
rnacentral:piRNA from 1 species